GGAGAUGUAGCUCAGUGGCAGAGCAUUUGCCUAGCAUGCAUGAGGCUCUGGGUUCAAUUUCUAUCACCA
rnacentral:tRNA from 1 species